ACAUCCCGAUCGCACCUUUUGGAAACUUAAGGGUCAGCUCGGCUGGAUCGGUGACAGGUGCUGCAUGGCUGUCGUCAGCUCGUGUCGUGAGAUGUUGGGUUAAGUCCCGCAACGAGCGCAACCCUCGUCCUUAGUUGCCAGCAUUAAGUUGGGCACUCUAAGGAGACUGCCGGUGUUAAACCGGAGGAAGGCGGGGAUGACGUCAAGUCCUCAUGGCCCUUAUGUCCAGGGCUACACACGUGCUACAAUGGCCGGUACAAAGGGUAGCAAGACCGCGAGGUGGAGCCAACCCCAAAAAGCCGGUCUCAGUUCGGAUUGGAGUCUGCAACUCGACUCCAUGAAGUUGGAAUCGCUAGUAAUCGUGGAUCAGCAUGCCACGGUGAAUACGUUCCCGGGCCUU
rnacentral:rRNA from 1 species